ensembl:lncRNA
GCCAUCUGGGAGAAAUUAGAAAUUGACAGAGAGGAAAACUCUUUAGGAGAAAGUCGGCUGCCUCUAGUGGGGAAAGAAAAAAAAAUAUCAUCACAGGCAAAAAUUCCUGCAUCUUUUGAAGUCAUUGAAAUGAAAAGGCUUUUUGCUUGAGUUAUUCAGCUAACUGCCUUAAUUUUCCACCUGCCAAAGAUGGAGAAGCUCUAUACAGACAGCAAAAACAAGACUGGAAACUGACUAUGGCUCAGAUCAUGAACUCCUUAUUGCCAAAUUCAGACUUUAAUUGAAGAAAGUGGAGAAAACCCCUAGACCAUUCAGAAUCACCUCUCAAAUAAACUAUCCGCAUCAAGUUAUCAUCUCAGGCUCUGUUUUCAGUGGAAAUGAAGACAGCUCCUGAUGUGGAAAGUGAUCAUCCUCAGCACCCUGAAGUCUCUGGCCCUUGCUCUCUGCAGAACGGUUAGACUGCCCACGAUUCCUGGGCACUGCUGCUGUGUAAGCCGACAGCAAAAUAAUCCCAUUGCAAACAAUCAGUUCAACUAUUACAGAAAUGUACCAGACGAAAGGCUCAUGGCUGGGGCAACAAAUGCCAUAAGGGAGUCUGUAAAUGACUUUCUGGCCAGCCAAAGAAAUGUCACAGAAAAAGAAAGAAAGAAAA